GAGACACCCUUCUGGGGCAAGACUUGCUUCAGUGGGGCUUUGGUGCUCACUGAGUCUGCUCCCUGAGUCUGUCCCU
rnacentral:pre_miRNA from 1 species